ACGAAGGGGGCUAGCGUUGUUCGGAAUCACUGGGCGUAAAGCGCACGUAGGCGGACUUUCAAGUCAGGGGUGAAAUCCUGGAGCUCAACUCCAGAACUGCCUUUGAUACUGAGGAUCUUGAGUCCGGGAGAGGUGAGUGGAACUCCGAGUGUAGAGGUGAAAUUCGUAGAUAUUCGGAAGAACACCAGUGGCGAAGGCGGCUCACUGGCCCGGUACUGACGCUGAGGUGCGAAAGCGUGGGGAGCAAACAGGA
rnacentral:rRNA from 1 species